GUAACCCAGUGAAAUUGAUACUCGACUCUUCCCUGCCCAGGGUCCACCCGCGUAAAUCAUAACCAGAGGAAACAAAAGCCCUGCCUGAGCAGUGUGUCUUGCCGGCAGGCAGGCAAGGAACGAGGCUGAGUGACUCACUCUCUCCAAGUCUGGUUGGAGGAGAGGCACAUGGUUUCCAGGAAUUUCUUUGCAUUGUUUUAUAUGUAUUAAGGGAAAAUUAAAAUAAAAGGAUCUGAAGUGUUGAGAAAGGAGAAGAAGGCUGAAUUUAAAAUGGGCAGACAUAUAAGGCCAGGCUGGCAAAGGGGCCUUGAAUUGACUGGCUCAUUAAAUCUCCUCGAGGCUUGUAGACACAUCGAGUUCACAGGGCUCUUGCCUGCUGUUAAUGCUUGCAGAGAGAUGGGCAAUGUCCAAAUUGCAAAGCUCCACGAAGCAAGUGAGUCGCCUAUGAAGUCAGAGGGAUUUUUGUUUAACCCGCCCUAAGAGCAUUUCCUCAAGUCUGAACUAAAACACAAUGUUCUCAGCUUAAUGAAGAAUGAUACAGAUGAAGGGAAGCUGGGGAAAAGAACUCACCCCUUUUGCAUACCUACCCUGCUCCAGGUGCUCUGCAUCUGCCACCGUGCAGAUUGUUACAGCAACUCACCAGACCACAACUUGCAGCUCACAACACAACAGGAAGCUUAAAGAUGCUUUGCUUGCUAAAGUGGAAGGCUGAAAGGAGCAGAACCAGAAGAGUGCUGGAGAGAUGGAUGUGGGUGGCGUUUGUUUUAUGUACUUACAAAAGAAGAGCUGCAAGUAGCAUAUGAAUCUCCGGUUCAAUUAGACAAACUUGUAGAGAAGAAAAAGAACUUCCUCAAGAAACUGACCACCACCCUGGAGUGGUUAAGAAUUGACCACUCAACAACGCUGGAUUAUAGCAAAUAAAUUUUCACGUUAGAUUGUUAAAAAAAAAUAGUGAACCCUUACACAGCAUUUGUUAUGUGUCAUGAGUUUUUCUGAGUUUUUCAUAUAAUAGCACAGUUAAUCUGUAUCAAAUCUUUGAGUUAGGUACUGUAUAUGAUCUCUAUUUUAUAAAUGCAGUAACGGU
rnacentral:lncRNA from 1 species